CUUGAACUGACUGCGAGUAGUAUUUGGUGCUACCACCGUUAUCAUUCCAGGCAAUCCACUCCAGUCCUUUUCCAGGAGCCUGUCUGAUCCAGGCCAUAUAGUAGCUACUGAAUGACAAUCCAGAUGUUGUACAGGUCAAUCUGUGGGAUUCUCCAGGUCUUUUAACUGCCGGUUCAGAUU